rnacentral:rRNA from 1 species
UACGAAGGGAGCUAGCGUUAUUCGGAAUUAUUGGGCGUAAAGCGUGCGUAGGCGGUUUUAUAAGUCAGAUGUGAAAGCCUGGGGCUCAACCUCAGAAUUGCUUUUGAUACUGUAAGACUAGAGUAUGUGAGGGGAUGGCGGAAUUCCUAGUGUAGAAGUGAAAUUCGUAGAUAUUAGGAGGAACACCGGUGGCGAAGGCGGCCAUCUGGCACAUAACUGACGCUGUUGCACGAAAGCGUGGGGAGCAAACAGG